rnacentral:snRNA from 1 species
GCGGCGAGAGCGGGUCGCCGCGUGCCGGC